rnacentral:lncRNA from 1 species
GUUUGGUUGGAAAGUUGAAUUAUCUUACUAUCACACGACCGGAUAUUUCUUAUGCAGUCAGCAUUGUUAGUCAAUUCUUGGAUACUCCUCGAGUUUCUCAUUGGGAAGCUCUGAUACGUAUUAUUCGGUAUUUGAAAAAGGCUCCAGGUCUUGGAUUGUUGUAUAAACGAAAUGGAAAUAUCAGGAUAGAAGGAUUUACAGAUGUAGAUUGGGCAGGUUUUCCAUUAGAUAGAUGAUCUACUACUGGAUUCCGUACUUUUCUCGGUGGUAAUCUUGUCUCUUGGAAAAGUAAGAAACAAACUGUGGUUGCAAGAUCAAGUGCAGAAGCGGAAUACAGGGCGAUGGCUCAUAUUGCUAGUGAAUUGACGUGGUUGCAGCACUUUCUUCAAGAAAUCAAUCUUUCACCCUCUACUCCUAUACCGAUGUUCUGUGAUAAUCAGGCUACUUUACAUAUUGCAUCCAAUCCAAUUUUCCAUGAAAGGACCAAGCAUAUUGAAGUCGACUGUCACUUUAUUCGGGACAAGAUAGUAUGUGGUGACAUAUGUACACCAUUUGUGAAGACCGG